AGCGAACGUUAGCGGCAGGCUUAACACAUGCAAGUCGCGCGAGAAAGAGGGCUUCGGCCCUCGUGUAAAGCGGCGCACGGGUGAGUAACGCGUGGAUAAUCUGCCCUUCGAUGGGGGACGAACAGCCCGAAAGGGUUGCUAAUACCGCAUACGUCGGCGCGGCCUGCGGGCUGCGUUGGGAAAGUCGCCGCAAGGUGGCGUCGAAGGAGGAGUCCGCGUCCCAUCAGCUAGNGGUUAGGGUAAUGGCCUACCAAGGCUAAGACGGGUAGCUGGUCUGAGAGGAUGAUCAGCCACACUGGGACUGAGACACGGCCCAGACCCC
rnacentral:rRNA from 1 species